AUGGACCAAUGCUUGCAGGUCGCUUUGUUCGCCGGCACGGACGCGAUCGCCAGGCGGUCCAAUUUCAUCUUCUCGCCCCUGUCCAUGCGGACCGGGCUCGCGCUGCUCGCCACCGGCACCAACGGCAAAACGCUGAGCCAGCUGCUGGCCUUUUUGGGCUCCCAGGACCUCCACCUCCUCAACGCGGCCAGUGCCAGCCUCAUCGCCGAGAUGCGCGCGUGGCCGCAGCUCACCUUCGCCGCUGGCAUCUUCGCGGACAAAUCAUUCUCGCUGAGGCCGGAGUUCGUGUCCGCCGCCGCCUCCGCCCACCGGGCCUCCGUGAGAUCCGUGGACUUUCAGAACCAGCCAGCGGCAGCGGCGGCUGAGGUGAACGCUCUCAUCGCAGAGACCACGAGGGGCCGCAUCCGCGACCUCGUCUCCCCCGACUCGUUUAGAGGCGACCCCAAGAUCGUCCUCGCCAACGCCAUGCACUUCAAGGCCACCUGGGCCCGGAAGUUCGACCCGUCGGACACCGUCCGCCGCGACUUCCACCGCCUCGACGGCACGUCCGUGCGGGUGCCGUUCCUCUCCGCCCCCGGGAUGCAGUACGCCACCAGCUUCGACGACCUCGGCUUCAAGGUCCUCCAGUGCUUCUACAAGAUGGCGGGGCGCGACGGCAAGCUCGACCCCAAGGCGCCGCUCUUCUCCAUGCUCAUAUUCCUCCCGCACCGGCGCGACGGGCUCCGCGACCUCCUGCGGCUGGCGGUCACCGAGCCGGACUUCGUCAUGCGCUGCGCUCCCCGGCUCCAGCAGGUGGUCAACCCGUGCCUGCUCCCCAAGUUCAAGUUCUCCUUCCGGUUCGACGCCAUGGACGCGCUGCGCAGCCUCGGGCUCGCCGCGCCGUUCGACCCGCUGGCCGCCGACUUGUCGGGGGCGGUGUCGAACAUGCCCCGGGAAGGGCUCUACGUGUCGACCGUCGAGCAGAUGUGCGCCGUGGAGGUGGACGAGGAAGGCACGACGGCGGUAGCAGCGUUUUACGCACCUUCGAACCCGACCUAUAGCCCGUGUGAGCGCCCGCCGCCGCCGCCCAUGAGCUUCGUGGCGGACCACCCGUUCUUGUUCGCCAUCGUCGAGUAUGGCAAGGGCGAGGUUUUGUUCCUCGGCCACGUCGUGGACCCUUCCAGUUGA
rnacentral:rRNA from 1 species